GAACGCUAGCUAUAGGCUUAACACAUGCAAGUCGAGGGGCAGCGAAUAGAUAGCUUGCUAUUUAUGUCGGCGACCGGCGCACGGGUGAGUAACGCGUAUCCAACCUGCCCAUAACUAAGGGAUAACCCAGCGAAAGUUGGACUAAUACCUUAUGUAUUCGUUUGAUCUCAUGAGAUUACGAAUAAAGAUUUAUCGGUUAUGGAUGGGGAUGCGUCUGAUUAGCUUGUUGGCGGGGUAACGGCCCACCAAGGCAACGAUCAGUAGGGGUUCUGAGAGGAAGGUCCCCCACAUUGGAACUGAGACACGGUCCAAACUCCUACGGGAGGCAGCAGUGAGGAAUAUUGGUCAAUGGACGCAAGUCUGAACCAGCCAAGUAGCGUGCAGGAUGACGGCCCUAUGGGUUGUAAACUGCUUUUAUAUGGGGAUAAAGUGGGGAACGUGUUCCCUUUUGCAGGUACCAUAUGAAUAAGGACCGGCUAAUUCCGUGCCAGCCGCCGCGGUAAAAGGG
rnacentral:rRNA from 1 species